rnacentral:rRNA from 1 species
CCUACGGGAGGCUGCAGUGGGGAAUAUUGCACAAUGGGGGAAACCCUGAUGCAGCGACGCCGCGUGAGUGAAGAAGUAUUUCGGUAUGUAAAGCUCUAUCAGCAGGGAAGAAGAAAGCCGGUACCUGACUACGAAGCCCCGGCUAACUACGUGCCAGCAGCCGCGGUAAUACGUAGGGGGCAAGCGUUAUCCGGAUUGACUGGGUGGAAAGGGAGCGUAGACGGCUGUGCAAGUCUGAAGUGAAAGCCCAGGGCUCAACCCUGGGACUGCUUUGGAAACUGUGGAGCUAGAGUGCUGGAGAGGUGAGUGGAAUUCCUAGUGUAGCGGUGAAAUGCGUAGAUAUUAGGAGGAACACCAGUGGCGAAGGCGGCUUACUGGACAGUAACUGACGUUGAGGCUCGAAAGCGUGGGGAGCAAACAGGAUUAGAUACCCUAGUAGUC